AUGGGAGAGAAGGGGCUGGUCGCUGAUUGGCUGGGCACACGACGGGGGAGAAGAACGUGUCCGAUCCCUCCAGCACAGGAGACCCAACACACGGGCCAGCCCCAGGGGAGAACCCAGCAGCGUCCCGCGCCCUGGGCUGUCAGGGAGCGCAGGGAUGGGGAGACUAUGGGGGCUGUCCUGGGUGAUCCAGCUAAUGCACGUGUGGGUGGCCAGUGGGCAGCUCUCAGUGGAGCAGAGCCCGGAAUGGCGGGGUGUCUCCGAGGGGCAGAAUGGCACCGUGACCUGCACUUACUCCAGCGCCAUCAACAGUUUACACUGGUACCGGCAGGCUCCUGGGGAGCGGCCCCUUUUCCUGCUGAUGCUGCACGGCAAGAGGAGCGAGACACAAGAACCGAAUUUCACUGCGGAUCACGAUCCGGGGCAGAAGCGGAGCUCCCUGCACAUCCGCGGCUGCCAGCUGGGGGACACCGCCCGCUACCUGUGCGCCGUGGAGACACAGUGA